rnacentral:rRNA from 1 species
UACGGAGGGAGCUAGCGUUGUUCGGAUAUACUGGGCGUAAAGCACACGUAGGCGGCGCCGUAAGUCAGGGGUGAAAUCCCGGAGCUCAACUCCGGAACUGCCCUUGAAACUGCAGUGCUAGAAUCUUGGAGAGGCGAGUGGAAUUCCGAGUGUAGAGGUGAAAUUCGUAGAUAUUCGGAAGAACACCAGUGGCGAAGGCGACUCGCUGGACAAGUAUUGACGCUGAGGUGCGAAAGCGUGGGGAGCAAACAGG